UCGGGAAUUUUGGGCAAUGGGCGAAAGCCUGACCCAGCAACGCCGCGUGAAGGAUGAAGUAUUUCGGUAUGUAAACUUCGAAAGAAUAGGAAGAAUAAAUGACGGUACUAUUUGUAAGGUCCGGCUAACUACGUGCCAGCAGCCGCGGUAAUACGUAGGGACCAAGCGUUGUUCGGAUUUACUGGGCGUAAAGGGCGCGUAGGCGGUGUGUCAAGUCAGUUGUGAAAUCUCCGAGCUUAACUCGGAACGGUCAACUGAUACUGUCACACUAGAGUACAGAAGGGGCAAUCGGAAUUCUUGGUGUAGCGGUGAAAUGCGUAGAUAUCAAGAGGAACACCUGAGGCGAAGGCGGGUUGCUGGGCUGAUACUGACGCUGAGGCGCGAAAGCUAGGGUAGCAAACGGGAUUAGAUACCCCAGUAGUCCCUGAGCGGGCUGGCAAGGCGCAU
rnacentral:rRNA from 1 species